rnacentral:rRNA from 1 species
UACGUAGGGUGCAAGCGUUGUCCCGGAAUUAUUGGGCGUAAAGAGCUCGUAGGCGGUUUGUCGCGUCUGCUGUGAAACCCGAGGCUCAACCUCGGGCCGCAGUGGGUACGGGCAGACUAGAGUGCGGUAGGGGAGAUUGGAAUUCCUGGUGUAGCGGUGGAAUGCGCAGAUAUCAGGAGGAACACCAAUGGCGAAGGCAGAUCUCUGGGCCGUAACUGACGCUGAGGAGCGAAAGCAUGGGGAGCGAACAGG